rnacentral:rRNA from 1 species
AUGCAGAAUGCUAUGGAUCCACUACCAAAUGCUGCUAAUUAUAAUUUGCAAGUAUUGCAGCAUGCUAUGCCUCCAGUACCAAAUGUUGCGAAUUACAAUCUGCAAGUAUUGCCGCGUGCUAUGCCUCCGUUACCACAAGCUGUUUCCCCAUUACCACGUGGACAUAAUUACAAUUUGCAUGUACUGCAGGGUAAUGUGACAUCGGUACCACAACUCGGGAACUACAAUUUGCAAGUUUUAGAGCAUGGCUUGCCUCCGCUAUCGCAGGCAGACACUACUAGUUUUCAACAAUUGCUUGGUUUGCGACCACAACAACCAUAUUUCUAUCAUACCACUCAACCGAGCCAGGUAUACUUAUUUAGUUAA